rnacentral:rRNA from 2 species
CAGCCGCCGCGGUAAUACCAGCACCCCGAGUGGUCGGGACGUUUAUUGGGCCUAAAGCAUCCGUAGCCGGUUCUACAAGUCUUCCGUUAAAUCCACCUGCUUAACAGAUGGGCUGCGGAAGAUACUAUAGAGCUAGGAGGCGGGAGAGGCAAGCGGUACUCGAUGGGUAGGGGUAAAAUCCGUUGAUCCAUUGAAGACCACCUGUGGCGAAGGCGGUGUACCAGAACACGUUCGACGGUGAGGGAUGAAAGCUGGGGGAGCAAACCGGAUUAGAUACCCGGGUAGUCCCAGCUGUAAACGAUGCAGACUCGGUGAUGCAUUGGCUUGUGGCCAAUGCAGUGCCGCAGGGAAGCCGUUAAGUCUGCCGCCUGGGAAGUACGUACGCAAGUAUGAAACUUAAAGGAAUUGGCGGGGGAGCAC